rnacentral:lncRNA from 1 species
AGAAAAAAUAUAUCUAGUUCUAAAUUUCUGAUUUAUUGAUCUUAAAACACACAUGCACAAACACACACAAAGAAAACAAAACAAAAACAAACAAACAAAAACUGAGGAACUAUAUAUGGAAACAUUUCACACAUUUAUCAUCUCCAACCUGGAAUGACCCCAGUAAUCACCUCUGCCAUCAUUUUUAAAACUUUUUUUUUUUUUUUUUUUAGCAACAAAGGACUUCCGAUUUUUUGAAAGCAUAAAGUAGUUAGGCAAGGCAAGCAAACACAGGUGAUUUGUUUAUAAUAUAAAGAUUCUCCAGGACCAUUUUUCUUUCUGUAUUACGUAUACAGGAAAAUGUAACUGUGCUACCAGUGGCUAGCAGAAAAUAAAAAUAAAAAUAAAAAUAAAAAUAUAAAAAUAGAAAAAAUAUAAAAAUAAAAACAAAANNNNNNNNNNNNNNNNNNNNUAUUAUUAUUAUUAUUUAUUUAUUUAUUUAUUUAUUCAUUGUGAAAAUCUGGUAUUUGUUUCUUCUCUCUGCAUAGAUCUCUGCAUCACAUAAGAAAGCCCAUAGUUGGUUUGACAGAUGGAGACAGCUUGUAACAAUGUACUUAAAGCUCUGAAAGACUAAGAUGAGUAAUCCAAAUCAUUCCAAAAAUGGCUUUUUUUCAUGAAUCUGUCUAAAAAUAUGUCACAGAGAAUUUCUUUUCCCUCCUCUCCACUCCUUUUUGUUCAAAGCAAGUUUACAGCUCUGGAGAUUGAAAUCACCUAUUAAUGAUACAGGAAGUACCACGCAAGAAAUACCUGUUCCAGCUGCCCAACAGCACCAGCUAAUGUGCUCAGAUCCUUUUUCAGGUGUGAGGAAGCAGGCUGUUUGCUCUAUUCAUUCUGUGCCAGGGUUGCCAGGAUGUUGAACAAGGUUAUAUUUGCACAAGGAGUUCUUUGCUGAUAUGAGAAUACUGGUGUACUCCACUGGCAAAAACUUCUCAUGAAAUGCCAGGUCACAAUAGCAGAACUGUAGAAAGCUACCCCUCACAAGUGAGGCGAGGGUAGGAGUAUUUUCUAACAGCACAUUUUUUGCAUAAGGGAAUUCUGAUAGUGCAGCUCUGUUGGGGCAGAGGUGUAAGGAGAUGAAAGAUGUGAAAUAUAUAUUCCAUAUUACUAUGUGCAGAGUGUAUGUUUAUGAGGAAAUGCAUGUGUGAGAAAAAGGUGUGGAAGAGUGGAAGCAAUGGUAGAUAGAGUGAUGAAAAUUUUCCUUUGAGAGUUCUUACAGAUCUGAGGUUUGCUUCAUGUAGACAACUGCCAAUAAAUCUUUUGUACUGAGGUAGAAUUGGAUCA